rnacentral:misc_RNA from 1 species
GGGCCAUCGGUAUUUGCUAACUUCGUUGGUUCUAUUGCAGGCGACCCGCCACCAUAUCUACUCGGCGUCGUCGUCAUCUUCUUCUUCUCUCCACUCUUCAUUCAGAAACUUGAGCCUGUUUUUGCAGACAUUCAUUGGUGUAUCUAAUUGCGGUAUAUUCAACGGAAGCUGACCCAAAAUUCUCACCCUGAAGCUGUUUGAUGAAAUUCCUGAGAGGUGUCUCAAUUUCAAAUUCCAACUUUUUUUUGCUUAGCUCUACAAUGUAAUCACCCUCAACCCUUUAAUUCAAAUGGCCUGUAAUUCCAUUCUCAAUUCUCCAUUUUUGCCUUCUUUCCCCCCAAAAAACAAACCCCAUUAUCGGAAAAAUACAAUUCCGGUAAUCAUUUCCUGCAAUUCUCACAAACCCAGAACUGAAGAAGAGAAGAAAAUUAGGAUAAGUCAAUUGGGUUUGCUUAAUCUUUCUGUUACACUCACUGUAAUAUCAGCUUCACUGGUACGACCCGCAAAUGCAGCAAAAGUGUCUGAAAAGAGGAAAAAGUCUGAAGCUUUAACGCCACAAGAGUUGAAAAAAUGGUCACAAGGUCUUCCAACUGUGAGCAAUA